rnacentral:lncRNA from 1 species
CUACAACAGAGAGUGAAGAGAACAUGCUUCUUGCAUGACACUUUCAGUGAAAACAAUUUGAUAUGAAGACAAUCUUUUGUUUCAUUUUUUUUUUUAAAUUUCCAACAUGAGGCAUUUGCCUCGUUUGCCUCAAUUUAGUUACGCCCCUGGCUUCUAUUAUGAAAAUAGCAGAAACAUUCAGAGCCUAUGAUCAUCAGCUAAUUUAAUGACACUUGAUAUAAAUUUUACUUAUCUUUUGAUCUAUAGUUGUCAACUUUUAUGCAAUGUGCAAUCUGUGCAUAGAAUAAAUGAUUCCCUUAACCAAUAAAAUCAAUUUUAACUGUCUAACACAG